AGUGGUUGUCCUUGUUCACUUUCAAAUUUCAUUAAAACACAAAGCGACCUGCAGUUAAAAGCCAGCGUGUGCAGGCCGACACGGAUAAAGACACAAUCUGAAUCAAUUUUACCAAACGGCCGUCGCUCUCCAUGUGUCCCGCUGACAGCUUUAACCUUUCAGAGGCUCCUCGCCGCCUCGUUCAGCGUCCAAUCUGUCAAAAAUUGGACCUUAAAUUGCGUGAGCCCGCAGCUGUGAGUGGAGGCCUCCGGCAGACAAUGAGCCUCACAAUGGGCCCGGCUGUGCCAUUAGCCGGGAGGUUGUCAUGCCAACGGUACAAAAAGCCCCGUGCGCGGCGGAAGGUUUGGCCCCGAGGAGAAUCCAUGGAGAUCUCUGCUGGGAGGCCCUUCAGUCCUCCUGACUCUGUUACAUCAUUAUUCACCCUCCAGUCGAGGCUCCGGCAGGCCGGAGCUUCCAGGACGUUUAAGCUGCUGAGGCGGCGCGGCAGAGGCUGGAUGUCAGGCUUUUUUUUUUUGGUGGCAGGGGUUGUUUUAGCUCCACCAGAAAUGCACUAUUGUACGAGUAAACAGACAGCGCCUUUGUGUGGAGGAGUGUGACGACCGUUUGAACCCUGAGCCGAACCAGCAGGGCCGUCGCUCAGGCUGGCAGCAAAUAAAACAUUUACAGAAGAGCAUGACGGCAGCGUCUGGAGACAUCUGUGACCGAAAAACCAUUACAAUUUGACCUAGCUAAAGCAAAAGCACUCAUUUUUAGCUGAUAUUGCUAAAAUGUGCUUAAAAUUUCCAAAGUAAGUCCUGAAGAGGCUACAGAGCUCCAGGUUUUUAACUACACAAUGAAAAUAAAAGAACACAGCAGCUCCAUUAAAUAGUUAUUUAAAGGUUAAAUGCUGCCUCCACAUGGACACAGUAGUAGCCAAUUAAACUGCUGUAACUGAUUGAAUUUUCAGAUAUUUUGUAUCAAGUUCUAUAGUUUAUUCCAUCGUUGUAUAAACUCGCCUGUAUCUGGAAGGUCCAGUCACUCCUGCAUCAGCACUUCUGCCUAAAACUACAUCAUGAAGAGAAAAUAUAAACAUUCUAUGCAACUCUGAAAUACUUAUUUAAAAGCAUAAGUCUGCAAAUAUGUCAAGAAAGGCUGGAAAAUAUUUGUUUCUUUAAAGGUUACUUAGACCAGUGGUUCUCUGCAGAGGCUUGAUGACGAGCUGAUCAUUUGAGUCAGGUGUGUUGGAAGAAGGAAGCAUCUAAAACAUGCAGGACAGUGGGUCAUGAGGAACAGGGUUGAGAACCACUGUCUUAGACGGUUGUACAUGAUGUGAAGCACGGUGGCGGCAGCAUCAUGAGGUAACACACGUUCAAACCACAAAUCGAUUCUAAAGAGGUACAGUGAAAAAGAAAGCUCUUCCCUGUAAGCUGUCUGGAUUGGCUCUUUGGGUUUGUGACGUAAGAAACCCUCCAAGUUUGAAUCUGAACGUUUCUGUCGUUGACGUGCUGCAGUUUUUUAAGGUGGAAAUGUUUCGCCAUGGUGUUCACUGCUUAUUUUGCUCGUCUUCUAGCAAAUAUAAAACACCAUUUGGACAUGUUUACAAAGAAAAAAACGAUUUUCACUGGAGGGGGGUGUUUUUAAAAGGGUGUUACAAGGAGGAGUCUGUCAGAUUUUAAUGUUUUGUACAAUUGUUUUCAUAUGGAGUAGUGUUCUCUCACGUUAAGAAGGAAAAAGCUGCUCAUUUACACAUGAAACAGAAAAGAAGCAACAACUACAACAGUUAUUUAUAAGGGGUUGCAAUCUAAAAAUGUUAAUAUAGCCGUCAGAUAAACUACAAUAUAUUCCACUUUCAUGUUGUAAAAACAAGAGCUGACAUUGUAUAAAAUGGAAAUGUAUCAAAAUGUCUCAUUUCUACUGAUGUGCAAACAAACGAGGCAGGUUCCACAUCUGUAGCAUUUUGCUCAGUCUGACAGCUUGCAGGCAUCACACCAGCCUCCGUCAUGUUAUCAUCUCAAGGCUUCCUCCUCAACACACUCUGAAAUGAAAACUGUCCGACGGGCUUCGAGUUCAGUUGGACCAUCUGUCUGUCUUUAGAGGAGCAAAAACAAAAAGCUGCCAUUCAUUUGGUGCCUCCUUGAUUCUUCUUUUGUUUGUCCAAUUUGCUUUGGAUGUGCCCAGUCUGAUUCUUCUUCUUCAUGCCGCUGGCACAAAAACACAAAAACACACACAUUCAUUUCACAUCUUUGUUUGUCACAGCAGGCUUCUGUCGCCACUCAGGCUCCAACGUAUGGCGAGGAAACUUUAAAGUCGCACAAAAUCUCUGGCAGCUCAGAUGUGUCUCAGUGAGUCGAUGUGACGCCACAAAAGCAACAAAACAAAGGCGGAGGAUCUGUGGGUUUAAUCUUCAGGACAAGGUUGAAGAGGACUUACCCAAAAGUGAGACAUAAACACGAAAAUUCCAAAAUGUGCGUGAAAUGCCCAGAAUUUUCCACAUUUAUUCUGUGUUUUGCAAGUUCCAUUUUAACUUUUUGCAUGUUUUUACCUAAAUCUAAUGUGGAAAACAGAAUUAGAACUUAUAAAGUGAAUUAUGUUUUAAGUUGUCACCUGGUGCCUGCAGAAAAGACACAACUUGAUGCACAAAAAUUCACCAGAACGCAAUAAAUUGUUUAACACUCAACCCCAACAUUUAAAUAAAACCUACUCCCAUUAAUUUGCCUUAGCAGAAAUGAGUAGAUUUUUGUUGAAACCAUUUCAGUGUUGGUUCAGAGAUGGAACACAUCUACAUGCAUUUAAGUGUUUAUUUUCAAGCUAUUUUAUGUCUGCUGCUCUUCAUUGGAACAAACUGAAUGUCAACAACAAUGGCAACAAUUAGACUAAACACUCAUAAACACACCAUCCGCACUGUGAAGCAUGGUGGUGGCAGCAUCAUGGUGAAGCACGGUGGUGGCGGCAUCAUGAUGUGAAGCACGAUGGAGGCGGCAUCAUGAUGUGAAGCACGAUGGAGGCGGCAUCAUGAUGUGAAGCACGGUGGUGGCAGCAUCAUGAUGUGAAGCACGAUGGAGGCGGCAUCAUGAUGUGAAGCACGGUGGUGGCGGCAUCAUGACGUGAAGCACGAUGGAGGCGGCAUCAUGACGUGAAGCACGAUGGAGGUGGCAUCAUGAUGUGAAGCACGGUGGAGGCGGCAUCAUGAUGUGAAGCACGAUGGAGGCGGCAUCAUGAUGUGAAGCACGGUGGUGGCAGCAUCAUGAUGAGGCACGGUGGUGGCGGCAUCAUGACGUGAAGCACGGUGGAGGCGGCAUCAUGAUGUGAAGCACGAUGGAGGCGGCAUCAUGAUGUGAAGCACGGUGGUGGCGGCAUCAUGAUGAGGCACGGUGGUGGCGGCAUCAUGACGUGAAGCACGGUGGUGGCGGCAUCAUGACGUGAAGCACGGUGGCGGCAUCAUGACGUGAAGCACGGAGGUGGCAGCAUCAUGACGUGAAGCACGGUGGUGGCGACAUCAUGACGUGAAGCACGGUGGUGGCGGCAUCAUGACGUGAAGCACGGUGGCGGCAUCAUGACGUGAAGCACGGAGGUGGCGGCAUCAUGACGUGAAGCACGGUGGUGGCGGCGUCAUGACGUGAAGCACGGUGGCGGCAUCAUGACGUGAAGCACGGAGGUGGCGGCAUCAUGACGUGAAGCACGGUGGCGGCAUCAUGACGUGAAGCACGGAGGUGGCAGCAUCAUGACGUGAAGCACGGUGGUGGCGACAUCAUGACGUGAAGCACGGAGGUGGCGGCAUCAUGACGUGAAGCACGGUGGCGGCAUCAUGACGUGAAGCACGGAGGUGGCAGCAUCAUGACGUGAAGCACGGUGGUGGCGACAUCAUGACGUGAAGCACGGAGGUGGCGGCAUCAUGACGUGAAGCACGGUGGCGGCAUCAUGACGUGAAGCACGGAGGUGGCAGCAUCAUGACGUGAAGCACGGUGGAGGCAGCAUCAUAAGUGACAUUCUUGCCUUAUGAAAGAACAGUGGUCCUAAGAUUAUCAGAUGUCCACCCUGUGUCUUUCUAAAGGUAAUUUUUCUGGUGAAAACAGUCAAAUCUACCAUGAAUGUUGAAGGAACAAACACAAACCUUUUAGAAGUCGGUAGUGACAGUUCAUUUCCUGUCCUCUAGAGGCAGAUCUGGAGUCAGCAGCAGUUCAUUAAUAAUUCAUUCCUUCAGUGUGUUUGGAGGUUGGUGAUGAAUGUCAAUAUCAUUCUCUCUGCUGGUUCAGCACCAUCCUGCUUCCUCCUCUCAGCCUCUGAAGUCACAGUUUGUGAAAUUUAAUCUGCUUAAAUCAGCCGGCGGCUACAAGAAUCUGAUGUCUGAUAAUAACAAGCAGAACGACUGAUGGUGUGUGAUGAGAUGGAGGAUCUGUUUGGUUUAUCAUCUUAGAUUUUUCUCCCGUCUUUCCCAGCUAUUCAUGACUAAAACUCACAAUUCUGGGGCCAAAAGUCAUCAAUUAUAAUUGCUAAUCCAAUUUUAUGGAUUUUAAAUCAUUGGCAAGAUGAAAAAUAAAAGAAAAACUUUAGAAUAUGUAAUCUGUUUACUUUUUAUCUUCAUUUUUCUCCAGAGGGUCCAAUCCGGCCCUCAAAGUGUAAAAAUUCCAGAGAAGACAUUAACUGCAGAUUCUAAAUUAGUAAAACUAUAAAUUUAAAAUCAUUUCUAGACCAUGACAAGUUGUUUUGGUCAGAAAGUAAAAUAAUAGAUUGUUCUUUUGUUGUUUUCUGUGAUCAUUUUUGUAAUUUUGUUUCAUGUUUUUGUCAUUUUGUGCUUCCUUUUUGUCUCACUUGUGUUUUUGUCUGAUUUUUGUCAUUUUGUGUUUCGCUUUUUCUUUAUGAGCGUUUGUGUUUUGUGUGUUUUGUCUCCAUUUGUUUUGCUUCACGUCAUUUGCCUAAUUUUUUUGUCAUUUUGUUUUUCACUUUUGUUAUUUUGUGUCUUUUUGUCAUAUUUUAUCUUGUUUUUGAUGUUUUUUUCUGACUUGUCGUUUGUUUCUUAGUUUUCUCAUUUUGUGUUUCGCUCUAUUCGUUUUGAGCAUCGCUUUUGUCGUUUUGUGGGGUUUUUGUGUGUUGCUUGUCUGUUUUUGUCAUGUUGUUUCUCCCUUUGUAGUUUUUUUGUCAUUUGUCGGUUAUUUUGGUCGCUUUAUAACUUUGUCUAAUUUUUGUCAUUUUGUCUCAUUUUUGUAAUACUUGUUUUUUUUUGUCUGUUUUUAUUAUCUGACUGUUGUCAUUUUGAUCAUAAAGUAAAUCCUCUCUGGUUCACUUCCAGGUGACUAAAUGUUGUGUUCCUUUGUGGACACUCUGUGAUCUGGGAGCUGUAAUGUGGAAAUGAUGAACUGAGGAUGAAUGUAGAUGAAACUUAAAUUUCAGUUUGUUCAUGAUGUUUUGUAGAAAGAUAAUUCCUUACAUGUGAACCAUUUUGCACUAAAACAGAGGAAACAUUAGGAGUUGUGGUUAUUUAUUGGUUAUUAUGUUGUGGUUUUACUGGCUCAGAUCAAUUGAGCUGAAUGUUUCCACUGAGCUAAUCUAAAAUUUAGCAAAUAUAUUAUUAAAUAUCUUUGGUUUAUGGUCCAACAGAAGGGCCCUGGUGAUUUCAGAUGGAAUAACUCAUGUGUGAUGUUUUUCAUUUUAAAGAGGAUGUUUCACAAAAUGUGAAUCUUCUGUUGUUCUAAGUGUCACAUACACAUUUUUUGUACAAUUAACAGUAAAUUUGGGGUCUGACAGUGUUUUAGUUCAGGGUAAAUAAUCCAAUCAGUCAUAUAAAAUAACACAUUUAGCACUGAUUAAAACUCACCCCGUUUAGUGUCAGCGCUGCAGCGACCCAAAUUAUGUCAAACUGUGACCCAGUAAACACGAGUCAGAACUCUUUUUUUUAAUGUAACUCCAGUGUCUGUGUGCAGAAGUUGACCCAGUUUCAGUUCUAAACAUCAGUGCAGCUCUGGGUUAACUGAUCAAAACCAGGCCAACAUUAGAGUCUGUUCUGAUCAGUUUAUAACCCACUUCAACUAAACUUACAUCAGUAUUUCUCACUCAUCCACGGAUAUUUCUUUGAGACUUUUGAAAGUGCUUCUUGUUCAGUAAAACUAGCAAUACAUCUAUGAGCUUGUUGUGUCUAAAACUGUGCCAAAAAAAUACAUGUUUCAUUUUAUUAAAUAAGCCAGCAGUAAGGCAGAACAACUCGCUGAUAACAGGGUGUUGUUUUAGAUUUUGCAUCUGUUAAAAGCUCACUAGGAAAUGUUGAAAAACUGGAAAAUUCAAGUUCUUUUUCUUUAAAAUUCAGAAGCAGCAACGCUGAAUGUCCAGUUCCUGCUUAGAGGAAUCAAACUCUUUAAGUCCAUCCGAUGGCACUGAUAUUACCGGCGUGUUUAAUUUUCAGAAAUUAAAAUGUGUGUUACCAGGAUUUUUUUUUUUGAUCAGAAGUAUUAAAGAAAAGACUCCAAGAAAAAUAGUCUCUGAAUUAUGUAAAUGCUUGCAAACACAUUGGUUUGGGGACUCGUCAUUUUUUGUGAAUGUUCUUAAACAUUCCUAACAUUUAUUUUUUUCACCAAAAAAAUGUUCAAAGAUUUCCUCAAAAUGUUGAAAAUGUGGUCAUAAAUGUCACUGUGAAAAUAUAUUUUUCCACAUUUUCAGACUUUAGAACGGGUCAGUUGGUUAUAAGCGCAUUUAAAAUCUGCAUUUUCAUUUAAAACCUGCAUGUUUGCCCGCACUUUAAGUGAACAAUGAUCAAUUUUCCCCUGAAGCUGGUUCGUUCUCCUGUCAACACUGAAGUCAGGAAAAAACAACAAAAGUGUAAAAACGUGGAGCUCCUGCGUCGGGUUACAAAACGUCUGCAGACUGCUGCUGGGACCAAAGAGGAAGAUGAAGAAAAGGAGGAUGAGGAGGAGGUUGCCAUGGUAACCACUCCUCCUGCUGCUGGGGGUGAUGAUGUAACACCGGGUCUCUUUUCCCGUCCUUGUCCUCCCCACCUACACCACCACACGGCUGCUUCAUGUGACAGGAGGGUGGAAAACAGACAAAGGAAGAGUCCAGAGAGCGUUCAUAACCCGAGAAGACAACCGAGUCAUCUACUUUAAGAACAACCUGCUGCAAUCAACUCCCCAAAAACACACAUUAUCGCUCCUUUUCAACACAACCGAUGCUCGUAAUUUCAAAAGGCGCCCGCUGCUGUCGAGAUGAAACCUGUUUGGUGCCCUGUAAUCUCUGCUCCCUGCUGCUCGGAUCACAUCAUCAAAGCUCUGAGCAUCAUUAAGGCAGAAACGUCAACAGGAGAGGCUUUUAUUGUGAAGCUGCAGAGGACGAUUCCUGCCACAUGAGGGCGCCAAUCAGCCGCUGAGCUCCAAGGAAGAAACGGAUGGAACGUUUCAUUCUCAGGACAUGGAUUUAAUUCACAGAUUGGAAAUAUACAUCAGUCAGAAACAAGCAGUGCAAAGCAGGUCUUUCUAGUUCAAGAUUUGAAAAUAGAAGCAGAAUUUCUUCCUUCAACAAAAUGAGACGAGAAAAGCUUCAAGAGUUACACUGAACAGAAAACAUAACCGCAGCAGGUCUUCUUUACUGGCCGAGAGAAACCCUUCAAAAUCUGUUUUAUUGUUGUUGUCAGAAGGUGAUCAAAGUUUGCUAAAAGUGCACAAAAAUACGUUCAGUUGGGGACUAAUUCUUAACCACUAAGUUGGCUUUAAGGAACAAGAAUCGGAUGUUUGACCACAGACUUUCCUUUGACCAUCAGCUGCUUCGGCUUCUAACAAAAAACAAGAAGAAUUGUUUUAAAUUGAAUGUGCCUUUCUGUAUUUUUGUGUGCAGGUUUAGAACAAAGGUCCGUAUCUGGUCCAGAUCUGGAAUGAAGAUGAAGAUGGGGCUGUAAACGCUUAGAGGAUCUAAGGAUCAGACUAAUUCCUUGCUCCUCCACCAGCAUGUGGCUGAACUCUCGGUGGUCUUUGAGGGUGACGAAGCAGUAGAGACAUUCUCCCUUCACCUUGUGAGGUCGGCUCACCACGGCGGCCUCGGCCACAGCUGGAUGCUCCGUCAGAGCCGCCUCCACCUCCGCUGUGCUCAUCAGGUGGCCUGGAGGACACGGCGAAAAACACAAACACGCAUCAGAAGAGACGAACAAACGCAAGGCUUCUGGGGAGGAAACGUGUUUAAGUUGAAGUUAUGGACCAAAAACAGCUCAGUUUGAUGUCGUAAGAACCUUUUUAUUUUUAAAGUUUUGAGGGGAAGCAGCAGAACAGUACCUGACACGUUGAGCAUGUCGUCUAUUCUCCCUGUGAUCCAGUAAUAGCCGUCUUUAUCCCGCCUGCAGCCUGACGGAGGACAAAACAAGUUGCAUGUUUCUCCAUCUCAUGAGACUCUUUGGUAUUUUAGUGAGAAAUCAAGCUGUACAUUCAGAGCAGUGUGAUGUUCAAUCUGUGCGUGAAGCUGAUUUUACGUCUCACCAUCGCCGGUCACGUAGAAGCCUGGGAAUUUCUUGAAGUAGGUGUUCUCGAAGCGCUCGUGGUUUUUGUACACGCUGCGCAUUAUUCCAGGCCAGGGCCUCCUGAACACCUGAAGAAGAGAUGUGUUGCUGCUAGUACUGCUGAUAUUAACACUAAUAAUGUUCAUUAAAGCUCUAAAGUACUGAAGAA